rnacentral:rRNA from 1 species
AUUGAACGCUGGCGGCAGGCCUAACACAUGCAAGUCGAACGGAUGGCGGGCGGGAGGGUAAUGCUUGGGACUCUAGCUUAUGGAGGGGGAUAACUACGGGAAACUGUAGCUAAUACCGCCUAGCAUAGGAUGAGCCCGAGUGGGAUUAGGUAGUUGGUGCGGUAAAGGCUCACCAAGCCCACGAUCUCUAGCUGGUGUGAGAGGAUGACCAGCCACACUGGGACUUAGACACGGCCCAGACUCCUACGGGAGGCAGCAGUGGGGAAUAUUGCGCAAUGGGGGCAACCUGAUGCAGCCAUGCCGCGUGAAUGAAGAAGGCCUUCGGGUUGUAAAGUUCUUUCGGUAGGGAGGCGUUAACUACAGAAGAAGCACCGGCUAACUCCGUGCCAGCAGCCGCGGUAAUAC